ACUCAGAGAAGGAUGAUUUUAGGACAGUGUAUUUUACUGGUACUGAUUUCAUAUUCUUAUGGACAGUCCCUGACCUCCUCUGCUUCUGUGGUGAAGAGACCUGGAGAGUCAGUCACUCUCUCUUGUACUGUCUCUGGAUUCUCAAUGAGCAGCUACUACAUGAACUGGAUCCGUCAGAAACCAGGACAAGGACUGGAGUGGAUCGGAUACAUCGAUGGUGGCACUAGCACUGCAUUCGCUCAGUCACUGCAGGGCCAGUUCUCCAUCACUAAAGACACCAGUAAAAACAUGCUGUACCUAGAAGUGAAGAGUCUGAAAGCUGAAGACACGGCAGUUUAUUACUGUGCACGAGACUAUGGCGGAUUUAGUUAUUUUGUAGGGCAGGGACAUUUGAAGGUCCAAAUAUGA